GGGAGGGAGAGAGGGAGAGCAGGAGAGAAGGAUAGAAAAAAGAAAGCUGGAGAGAGGGGAAAGUCUAGAGAGAGAAGGAGAGACAGAGAGGGUUCUAUUCUCAUGCAUGUAGGCCUGUGUGGUGUACAUUAUAUAGGUAAAUUGUGUGCUGUUUGAGCUCACCAAGAAGCUGGAUCUAGAAGCAGGCUUGCACCCCUCUCUCAAGCUCAAGUAUGUUUAUGCCAAGUGUCCUCUAAGACCCCCUGUGUGGCAGGGAGGAAAGAAGAGCCAAAGAGUCAAAGCAUUGUGUCCUUGAGAACAGCUGGAAGGAGCCAUGAGGGCAGCGGCUCCGGAGCAGACGGAGGGUCUGGUUGCUCAGCCUGUGAGACCCCGGUGAAGACUACUCCCCAUAACCUUUUUUGGGUUGAAGAUGCCCUCAUUCUCUUGUAUUGCAGAGGCCGGUUUACUAUCGUUUUUUUUGAGGGGCCACUUGUAAAGCAGAGGUGAGAAAUUUAACAAGAGAAUGGAACAACUGACUCCGGGAGCUGGUUGCUCUUCCAGAGGAUCUGAGUUCAAGACUCAGCACCCACAUGGAUGGUGGCUCAGAGCUGUCUGUUACUCCAGUUCCAGGGGAUCCAGUGCCCUCUUUUGGCCUCUUUGGGCAUCAGGCAUUCAUGUGGUACACAGACAUACAUGCAGGUAAAACCCCCAGACAUGUAAGAAAGCCACCCUACACCCUAAGAAAAAAAACCAAAAUCAAAAAAUUCCCAAACCAAACAACAACAAAACCCUCCCAACCAGGUAAAGCACUGAGCUUUCCAGAAGCUAAAAUACUAAAGAAAACUACCAGCUUGUGGUAAAAGUCUCUAGUGAAGUCCAUAUCAUGCACAUUUGCUUUGCCACUCCCUACACAAAGAGACUGGGCUCUACACAAGAUGUCCUGAGCUGGAACUUUGGUUUAGUCCACGCACUGUAAGACCUGUAUGAUCUGGCAAGAGGAUACAGCCCACGACUCUGGGGAUGCCUGAAACAGUGGGAAGUAAAGUGUUCCCAUUGCAUACCAACCUGCUCGACCUCUGCAACCUACAUCUCAUCCACUCUAUGACUGGCUAGUUUAUAACUUAGGCAAAUAAGAGACUAACAACAAUAAUAAAAUAAAAUGAUCAUAGCAAUAUAUGGUAAUAAAUGUUAUAUGAAUGUUUUCUUUCUUGUCUCUUAAGACUUACUUGAACAAAAGCAUUAUGACAGUCCAGAUGUCAUCCUGUAGCCAAGAUGGCUACAUAUUGAUAAAAGGCAGAUAGCAUAUCUCAAGGAUGACCUCUCCUGAGCCAUGGUGAUGCAAGAGACCUAGGAAGUCUGGGACAAAGUCUCUGCCUUCUGCUGGCUUGGUUGUCACAGGCCGGAGCCUGCAGCUUCUGUAAGCCACCCUCUGAGCAUGAGCAAAGGGAAGCCGAGCCAAGAGAGAUGGUUCCUGGUAACUCACCAAAGCCAUCUCUUUCCCAAAACUUUUCAUUUGUGAGACAGAAAUGUAUUUUCAUAUAUUAAUCCAUUUUGUGUUGGGAUUUCCAUCACUUUGAUGCCAAGAUUUCAAGACCACACUCCCCAUCCCAAGUUCUACAAUGUCCCUCCCCUAUUGUGGUGCAGUAAAGAGCCCCACCAGGAGUGAUCUGGACCAACACCAAACAAGGUUGCCAAGUGAGUCCCCAACGUCUACAAGUAACACCAGCAUCAGCAUUUUUGCUAGGACAACAGAGUGGCCUCCUGAAAGACAGACUGCUGAGUUAUCCAGGGGAGGCAUUGGAAGGCAGAGAAACAGGGCCAGGGAAAGGGGUUGGUAGUUCAGAUAGAGCAAUAGUAGGGAUGCAUUAUGCAUAUCGGACCCACACCAAGGACUGCGACCCAUAGAAAGAGCACUCCUGGCUGGGACAAGGACAAAGCAGCCAGCCAGGCUGAGGUGAGGACGGCUACAGAUCUUAGGUGCAGCUAAAGCGCGUGGACUUUGCCUGUAGAUACGGAGGAGAAUUGCUGCCUUGCGUGACCUGACAAGUCAGCACAAAUGUGACAGAUCACCAGCAUCAGACCAUGACAUGGCGGCGAGGAGUCCCUGUUCUAGGCCACUGCAGUGAUGCAGGCUCAGUACAGCCCAUGCCUAACCCAAGUGGAGAAGAGUGAGUGGAGUUAAGGCAGGCCAGGGCAGAGAGAGAUGCAGCGUUCACAGUGAGCCUUGCUCGCCUGCUCAGGGCCUUCUCCUUGCAGGCAUCAAGUGCCAGUUCUAAAGUAGUAAAGCCUGUUGCGAGAAGAAUGGAGUUUCCGCAGCAGCAGAAUUUGCUUUGUUUGGCUUGCUGAGGGAGAUUAUCAGUUUGCCUUUUCUGCUCCCACCACACCCUCUGACUCACCCCAUGGGCCGUAGGCGUAUUCUGCUCAUCGGAGCAGCACAUUGCAAUAAAUCUCUCCUUUUCCUGCAAACAUCUCCUUUCAAGCAGUGCAUUCGGUUGAUAUUAAUGUAUACUUUUUUGGUACUGUUUGUUUGUUUAUUUUAGACAGAAGCUCACUAUGGCUUCUAUAGCCCAGGCUGGCCCGGAACUCACAAUGUAUCACAGGCUAGAUCUGGACUCAGAACCACCCCCUUGCUUUCGUCUCUCAAGUGCUAGAAGCACGGGUGUACGUUACCAUACAGAUUUUUUUUUUUUUUUUGAAUCAUUGAAAAGAAGCUCUCGGAGACUGUUGCAUUUAAAAGCAAAGAGGAAUGAGCAUUUGUGAAUUUGGCUUACAGAUGUUAGGAAAUGUCAAAAGCUAUUUGCUGAGUGGGGAGUAUUAUGAGGUAAGUCCUGUGUGAGGGCCAGGAGACCCCAAAAAUCUGGCUGCGCCCUUUCGCUAACAGACACCUUCACACGCACCUUCAACACGCCCCUUGACGUUGCUGUUCCUGCGUUUCCUCACCCACCCUAAAGCCGUCCCCGCUAUGUGAUUUUAAACAUUUGUCUUAAAUACUGGGGAGCCCUCAGGUGCGUGAGGUGAAGGGGAAGACUUUGCCGUAUAGACAGCAGCAGGUGCUUGAAGGUGCAGGACUCAUUCCGGCUGCCUCGUUAGUUUUGUGGGUCUGGGGCCAAGUUGAGCCUUAUCAGGCCCUUGUGCCUAAAAAGCACCGUAUAAUGGUAUUUUAUUUGUACUGAAAUGUGAUUUUAUUUGUAUGUUAAUAAAUAAAGUUGCUUGGAGGUCAGAGCUAACAGCAAGCCAUA